CCUCGGAUCAGGUAGGAAUACCCGCUGAACUUAAGCAUAUCAAUAAGCGGAGGAAAAGAAACCAACAGGGAUUGCCUCAGUAACGGCGAGUGAAGCGGCAACAGCUCAAAUUUGAAAUCUGGCCCCCAGGCCCGAGUUGUAAUUUGUAGAGGAUGAUUCUGGCGACGCGCCUUCCGAGUUCCCUGGAACGGGACGCCAAAGAGGGUGAGAGCCCCGUCCGGUCGUGCGCCUAGCCUAUGUGAAUCUCCUUCGACGAGUCGAGUAGUUUGGGAAUGCUGCUCUAAAUGGGAGGUAUACGUCUUCUAAAGCUAAAUACCGGCCAGAGACCGAUAGCGCACAAGUAGAGUGAUCGAAAGAUGAAAAGCACUUUGAAAAGAGGGUUAAAUAGUACGUGAAAUUGCUGAAAGGGAAGCGCUUAUGACCAGACUUGGGCUAGGUGAAUCAUCCGGCGUUCUCGCCGGUGCACUUUGCCUGUCCAGGCCAGCAUCAGUUCGCUUCGGGGGAUAAAGGCUUCGGGAAUGUAGCUCCUUCGGGAGUGUUAUAGACCGUUGGGAAAUACCCUGGGGUG
rnacentral:rRNA from 1 species